AGAGUUUGAUCAUGGCUCAGGACGAACGCUGGCGGCGUGCCUAAUACAUGCAAGUCGCGCGGACUUUUUGGGAGCUUGCUCCUGAAAGGUCAGCGGCGGACGGGUGAGUAACACGUGGGCAACCUGCCCGACAGACUGGGAUAACAUCCGGAAACGGAUGCUAAUACCGGAUAGUUUGCUUGAAGGCAUCUUCGAGCAUGGAAAGGCGCUACGGCGUCACUGUCGGAUGGGCCCGCGGCGCAUUAGCUAGUUGGUGGGGUAACGGCCCACCAAGGCGACGAUGCGUAGCCGACCUGAGAGGGUGACCGGCCACACUGGGACUGAGACACGGCCCAGACUCCUACGGGAGGCAGCAGUAGGGAAUCUUCCACAAUGGGCGAAAGCCUGAUGGAGCAACGCCGCGUGAGUGAUGAAGGCCUUCGGGUUGUAAAACUCUGUCUUCUGGGACGAACGGACAGGAGAGGGAAUGCUCUUGUUGUGACGGUACCAGAGGAGGAAGCCACGGCUAACUACGUGCCAGCAGCCGCGGUAAUACGUAGGUGGCAAGCGUUGUCCGGAAUCACUGGGCGUAAAGCGCGCGCAGGCGGCCAUUUAAGUCUGGGGUGAAAGCCCGGAGCUCAACUCCGGGACUGCCUUGGAUACUGGAUGGCUUGAGCAUUGGAGAGGUAAGGGGAAUUCCACGUGUAGCGGUGAAAUGCGUAGAUAUGUGGAGGAACACCAGUGGGCGAAGGCGCCUUACUGGCCAAUUGCUGACGCUGAGGCGCGAAAGCGUGGGGAGCAAACAGGAUUAGAUACCCUGCUAGUCCACGCCGUAAACGAUGAGUGCUAGGUGUUGGUGGGGUCCACCCAUCAGUGCCGAAGCUAACGCAUUAAGCACUCCGCCUGGGGAGUACGCUCGCAAGAGUGAAACUCAAAUGAAUUGACGG
rnacentral:rRNA from 1 species